AUCACUGGUGGAUCUGUAAGAGAUCUUACAGAGAUCACUGGUGGAUCUGUAAGAGAUGUUACAGAGAGAAAUCUAUCAUCACUGGUGGAUCUGUAAGAGAUGUUACAGAGAGAAAUCUAUCAUCACUGGUGGAUCUGUAAGAGAUCUUACAGAGAUCACUGGUGGAUCUAUCACUGGUGGAUCUGUAAGAGAUGUUACAGAGAGGGCUCUUUCUCUGAGAACAGGGCCAGUCCUGUCUGGAUGACUGUGCUUCCCUGUUGAGAGGGUGCUGCUCCCAGUGCGGCCUGGUCACCAGGACCUUCAGCAUUGUAUUUUUCUCUAGCUUCUUGAUAAUCUCAAGUCUUAUAACGGCAUACCUGUAUAUACAGACUGGUCACUGUAUUACACAUCUGUAGCAAAAAUAAGUGCCCAGACCAACAGCAUAGAAAAUGAAAACUCACAUAGACACGCAUACACACACACACACACACACACACACAACAACACACACAAACAUAUCACUAUGGAAACAACAGUGCGCGCACAUGCACUCAUGCAUACCCACAAGCAUCCGUCUAUGUUUGUGUUAGAAUCAAUGGGACACCUUAAAUAUACAGUAUACACUAUGUUUGGAUCCUAGACUUAACAGUACACAAAAGAGGACUUUCGGUCGUCAAGGAAACAUGUUACACGACACUGAAAACAGAACUUCUCUGAAGAUUUAAUCAAUUUACUCUGAAAGACUUCUUGGAUAUUGAAACAACUGUUCUACAACUGUCCUAAUGUUCUCUGUCCGAACGAGAGACAGAAAAGGAGAGGG